rnacentral:rRNA from 1 species
GACGAACGCUGGCGGCGUGCUUAACACAUGCAAGUCGAACGGAAAGGCCCUGCUUUUGUGGGGUGCUCGAGUGGCGAACGGGUGAGUAACAUGUGAGUAACCUGCCCUUGACUUUGGGAUAACUUCAGGAAACUGGGGCUAAUACCGGAUAGGAGCUCCUGCUGCAUGGUGGGGGUUGGAAAGUUUCGGCGGUUGGGGAUGGACUCGCGGCUUAUCAGCUUGUUGGUGGGGUAGUGGCUUACCAAGGCUUUGACGGGUAGCCGGCCUGAGAGGGUGACCGGCGACAUGGGGACUGAGGUACGGCCCAGAAUCCUACGGGAGGCAGCAGGGGGGAAUAUUGCACAAUGGGCGGAAGCCUGAUGCAGCAACGCCGCGUGCGGGAUGACGGCCUUCGGGUUGUAAACCGCUUUCGCCUGUGACGAAGCGGGAGUGACGGUAAUGGGUAAAGAAGCACCGGCUAACUACGUG